UACGAAGGGUGCUAGCGUUGUUCGGAAUUACUGGGCGUAAAGCGCGCGUAGGCGGCUCCGCAAGUCAGAGGUGAAAUCCCUGGGCUCAACCCAGGAAUUGCCUUUGAAACUGCAGAGCUAGAGUGUCGGAGGGGAUAGCGGAAUUCCUAAUGUAGAGGUGAAAUUCGUAGAUAUUAGGAGGAACACCGGUGGCGAAGGCGGCUAUCUGGACGACAACUGACGCUGAGGCGCGAAAGCACGGGGAUCAAACAGG
rnacentral:rRNA from 1 species